UUCAUUAAGUCCAGAAUGGGUUAGUUUCAAUACACAAUUUCCAGCUGAAUGUUGUUCUAAUAACAAAAUUCAUCAGACAGAGACAUCCUUCAAAGGUAUGUUGUUUCAGCGAUCAGUAGCGUUUCCAAUGAAUCACACACUGACCAGUUGGAAGAGCUUCUGCCUGUUAUUGGAGCAAACUCUGCAGACCUCGUCUGUCAGAUGCAGCACUCAGCCCUCAGCCCCUCACCGGAGCUGAGUUCCUUGGCAAACGAUAGACUGCCCUCUGUUGAUGGAAAAAGCAAUGCUCAGCGCAGGACACAUGGAGAAGCUUUCGGAUAAGUCGCAAAGCUGCGAUUAGUUGAGCUCUGUUGACUGCAGGACUGAAACCACAGAAAGUGAAACCACAGUUAAGGGAGGACUACUAUACUCUGUAAGCUGUAAAGCAGAGGCCAGAGAGGUUGGUGGAUGAAGGAACAGCUUCUGGAAUCAGAUGUCUGGGUUUGGAUACAAACUCUAACACUUCCUCGAAGGAUGAUGGAAUGAGGGGAUGAAGUCACUUGUAGAAGACUGCACUCUUAGUAACAGACAGUGGGUGCCUGCAUGCACUCUUGGUUGCUUCAGUUGUGUCCUAUUCUUUGCGACCGCAUGGACUGUGGCCUGCGAGGCUCC